rnacentral:rRNA from 1 species
UGACCUCGGAUCAGGUAGGAAUACCCGCUGAACUUAAGCAUAUCAAUAAGCGGAGGAAAAGAAACCAACAGGGAUUGCCUCAGUAACGGCGAGUGAAGCGGCAACAGCUCAAAUUUGAAAUCUGGCCCUAGGCCCGAGUUGUAAUUUGCAGAGGAUGCUUUUGGCAAGGUGCCUUCCGAGUUCCCUGGAACGGGACGCCAUAGAGGGUGAGAGCCCCGUCUGGUCGGACACCGAGCCUCUGUAAAGCUCCUUCGACGAGUCGAGUAGUUUGGGAAUGCUGCUCUAAAUGGGAGGUAUAUGUCUUCUAAAGCUAAAUACCGGCCAGAGACCGAUAGCGCACAAGUAGAGUGAUCGAAAGAUGAAAAGCACUUUGAAAAGAGAGUUAAAUAGCACGUGAAAUUGUUGAAAGGGAAGCGUUUACGACCAGACUUGGGCCGGUUGAUCAUCCAGCGUUCUCGCUGGUGCACUCUGCCGGCCCAGGCCAGCAUCAGUUCGCCCCGGGGGAUAAAGGCGGCGGGAAUGUGGCUCCUCGUGAGUGUUAUAGCCCGCCGUGUAAUACCCUGGAGUGGACUGAGGUUCGCGCUCUGCAAGGAUGCUGGCGUAAUGGUCGUCAACGACCCGUCU